UAGAUUGACUCAACAACUGCAACACAAC
rnacentral:sRNA from 1 species